GAAAUGCGAUACGUAAUGCGAAUUGCAGAAUCCAGUGAGUCAUCGAAACUUUGAACGCACCUUGCGCUUCCGGGUAACCGGGAGCAUGUCUGUUGGAGUGCCUGUUCUCAACCACAACUUCCUCCUUUUGCUCCCUGUUUUUUUGCUGGGGCUGUGAGGCAGGAGUGUGUCUGCUUUGUGUUCUGCCACCGGAACAACACUGCAAUGAGAUGAAAGGCUCUUCAAUGCGCCUGCUCGCUUUGUUGGCUGAGAUUUUCCCUUUUCUCAACAGAUUCCCAACCCCCCGCUGGUUGUGAAUGUCGUGAUUGUUUUUCAACCCAAAAAGAAAACGCACAGCCAACAAAGCACAACGCACGCACAUUAACACACACACAUCCCAUAUCGGGCCUCCAAUCAGACAAGAAGACCCGCUGAAUUUAA
rnacentral:misc_RNA from 1 species